CAGGAAGCUUACAGCCUCGUAUGCAAAGCAAGGGCUUCCUGCAUGGGAUGACAAUCCAGGACUGACUGUGACAAAGUCUGGCGGAGCAGCUGAGAGGUGGUGCCAUCACCCGUCAGGCACAGCACGGCUUCUGGCUGCGCAGGUGUACACUUCUCAGACAGCGCCUGGGGCAGACGCACACACCCUAACUGAAGGCAGACUUGCAGAAACAAAAGCUGCUUGCUCUCCAGCUGUCAGGGACGUCUCCAGGAGAUCCCUGACGUCAUCGGAGGCUGAAAGAGCUGCUCUGAGAGACACGUGGACUGCCCUCUCUCCAGCUAAGGAGGUGGCCAGCUCUGCCCUGGGCUGUCCUCUUCAAACAGACAGCUGCAGGCCACAUGACGCCAUCUCCUGACCUCAGUUUAGUUUCCUGGGGGCAAGAGCUGACUCAACUUCAACAGUAAUAAUGUGCUAUAUUAUCUCGAACUUUUGAGUUCAGGAAGCUGAUUUUGCUUUAAAAUGUCCACUGCCUUCCUUUCAUCGAGCUGGUGAGGCAGGCUGGCAACAGAAGCAGUGGGCCCAGAGAGGUAAAGUGGCACCCUGUCUUGGGCAAGGAUUUGGGAGGGCCCCUCCUCCAAGGAGGCCUGGGAAGCGCCCUAAUCAUCUCGGCAGCAUUGGAACAAAGCUUCGGUCAAGCAAUGAAUGAGAGUUCCUGUUGCUCCACAUCCUCACCAGCAUUCGGUAUUGUUAGUGUUCUGGAUUUUGGCCAUUCUAGUAGGUGUGUGGAGGUUCUGAUGACAACUCCCUCACGUCUGAUCCUACCCAAGAUGUCACCCUCGCCUCACAUAACUCCCUGCUCAGGAACCACUGUGUGGGCAGCCCUCACCCACUUUGCCCUUGCUCUCCCCAUGAGUCCCUUCCCAUUGCAUCUCCCUAGGAUUUGGGGUUCCUCCCCACUCCUCUACCCCAAGACCUACUGAAUCAGCAAGACUUGAGAACCUGUGACAAGCAGACCACGCCAGGGAUCUGCUGCACACUGAGUUUGGGAAUCAUUGAGCCAGCUGAUCUCUAAGGACUGGUUUAGCUCCAAUAUUCUAGGAUCAAGAUGUUCUGAGGGAUGGCAGGCUCCGGGGAAGAAGCACACGGCCUCCCACGUGCACAGAUGAGUUUUAAUAACCAUCGGGUCUCAGGCUUUUUACUGCAGUGAUUGUCUACCUGGGCUGCAUAUUAGAAUCAUCUGUGGGGUUUUUAAAACUCACAGAUAAUAUGGUUUCCAAGCAGAGAUGAGAUGUGUGGGUUUCUUCCCCCUCUUCUCUAAGAAGCAAAAAACCACCUUGGAAUUGCCGGCAGUGGUUCCACCCAAAGGGUACGUGUUGGUACCAGGUGUUCUCUCUGGAAAUCUCCCCAAUGAGGGUCAAUCACUUGGUGCCACAGAGGAGAGCGAGCCUUCUGAACAAAGCGGGCUGUGGAGACCUCAGGACUGACCCUGGUAACUUCCUUUAAAAGAGUAGCCUCACUGUCUGGCAAAAGGGAUGUACUCAGACCCUUUAGGCUCCAAGGAUGGUCAAAGAAAAGCUGCGGACCCCAGGGUGCAUCUCUGGGGUGAGAAGAGGAGAGUGGAGAUUCUGGCUCCACCAGCUUGUGGGGCUGGAACUGAGUCUGAAUCAGCAUCCGGGGCCAGCCAGUGUCCUGGGAGGAGGCUGUGGAGGUGAACUGCUACAUUAGGAGACCAUGUCAGGGUACCCUUGGCCAAGGUUAGCAAAGGGGGAGGUGGUGGUCCCUUCUCCAAGGGCCACAGCUGGGCAUGAAAGGCUGCCAGGAGCAUCUGGUGGGCACCAGCUGAGGAUGAGGUAGGACCAGUGUCCAACAGUGACACCAUGGGGCAGCGGGAAGUCACAGCAGAAGUAAUGCUAAGUGAUAAUAUUUCUUUGGUGUUAUUUGCCCAGCAUUGAUCUAAGUGCCUCACACUUAUUCAUUCAUUUAAUAACAAUUAAUAGCAGUUCUGUCAGGGAGUCAUUAUCACCCCCAUUGUACAGAGAAAGAAAUCAAGGCAAGGAGGUUAUACAAUUAGAGAGUUGCUGCCAGGCUGUGAACCAGGCAGUCUGGCUCCAGAGCCCACAUCCUUAACCAUUAUGCACUGCUGCCUCAAUAACAAUAACCAUAAUUUACUGAGAACUUACUAUGUCUAUUAUGUUCUCUGUGCUCUUUUAGUCUUCACCACAAUCUGACGAGGUGGGAACUGGUUUUAUUCCCAUUUUGCAGAUAAGAAAAGCGAGGCACAGGGAAGAUAAGUAGUGGUCUGCUCAUCGUCCAUUCUCGCCCCUCUGGGAAUGGAAACCGGACUCAUCCCAGCCAAUCCCACAGCUGCUCCUUCACUUUUUGGAAGUUCUAAGCCUUUAGGGUUCCCAGAAAAGUGAAGCUAGUGGAAAGCUUCGUUACGGGAUGCUGGGCUUCCUGCAACAGAACAUGUGCACUCUUUAGUGAGGAACUGGAAAAACAAAGGCCGUAUGACAAUAUUUCUACCUCCAAAUUUGUGAGAGCAGAUCAUAACAAUUUCAGGGGCCCCACCCCAGAUUUGUGGAAUCAGAAUACGUGAAGGGUGAGGCCAGGAAAUCGGAAUUAAAACAGAGCCAAAAACAAACCACAGGUGAUUCUGGAGCACAGCCAGCGUUGAGAAUUACUACCUUGAUUUCACAGUCGUAUUUCCCUGCCCCCAAUGAGCAGGCAACAGUGUUUCUAGGAACUGGUUCUAGUUUUCGAGUCCUCCUGCUUAGAAAGAAGCUGCGUGUGGGAGCUGACCAGAGGGAAGGAGCUGUUAAGGACCUGGGCAGAGAAGCAAAGCCCCAGGAGCCCAAGAUUCAUGCCCAUGCGCUCUUUGUUCAUGCCCUCCCCUGGCCUGCUGGACUUGGCAAAUCAUUAUCUGUUCUUCAAAGGUAGGCACAAACAUCUUACUCUUAGUAAACACUUCCCCUGUUCAGCCUCCCCUCCUCCAGCCUUGUGCAUCUCAAAGGACUGCCACUUGGGAGCCCACAGCUCAAACCUGGCUCAGAGCACUGCUCACCACAUCCCUUCCCUGUGUUGUGCCCCUACCUUUCAGGACUGCCUAUUAUUUACACCUUGCCCUUCUGCUCCCCUCACACCGGCCAAGCAAGGUGCCUGGGACAUCAUAACCUCUCAGAAAGUGCUAGCUGUUGAACGUAAGGGAGAGGAAGGAGGGAGGAAGAAAGAUAGAGGGAUAGGGAAGACGAAAAGGGCAAAAGGUAACACAGAUGGAGAGUGGCCAGUGAAAUCUGAUUUAGUGUUGACCCCUUGAGCACAUGUGACCUUUGCUCUGACCCAUGGGUACAGCCAGUCCAGGCACUCAUCUGGUCGCCCUGGAACUAUGCACACAGAGUACUGAGAGAGAGAGAUGAGGACAUUUAUGGUUUCACCAGGAACCAUUUCUUAUUUCUGUUGAUGCUUAUAACAAUCCUAUGAGAUAAGUAGGGUAGAUCUGAAUAAUCUCGUCUUACAGGGGAGAAAACUCAGGCUCCGGAAGCUAAUAAGCAUGUCCAAGGUCACAUGGCUGGUAAGCAGAGCAUGGGUUAAUCCAAAUUCAUUGCUAGACAGACAAAAAUAGCUCCGAUUUUAAGGUUGGAAGGGCCCUGGCAUAUCAUCUGAUCCAACUCUCUGGUCAAUGUGCAUCUUCCCCACAACUUAUUGGAGGAGAGGGGAUGGAGCUGUGUUGGAAUAACCCUAACAAUGGGGAGCUCCCUGCAGCCACUGCAGCUUGGACAGGACCAAAUGAAAGUUGUCCCUUACACUGAGUUAAAGUUUUCUCUGUAGCACAUAACCAGCAGCUCAAUCCUCUCCUGAAGACCAGUGAAAGGCGUGUUCCCUUUCCACUCUGUCAGCUGUGCUCCACCGCUCUGAGACACCACGACCGACAUCCUGGACUGAGGCAAGGCCCCCUUCCCCGGCCUCAGAGCGCUCCAGCAGAGGGCUGCCCGUGCUUGCUCAGCUGGCACGCUGACUCACUCCCGACAGUGUAGGUGAGUCACCGCUUGCCUACGGGGAUGUAUUUCCCAUUUGAGGUAUAUCAAAGGAGAACAUCCUCUGCCACUCUCUACUUACGCAGGAGAAUGUGGAGCAUCUCAAGAGAUCUCAAUCCUGCCUCAUAAGAAGUUCAAGGGCUUUACUCAUACAACUCAUGCUUCAUAAUAAAAAUGUACACAAGGUCUAAAAGACAGACCUGGUGAGUUGGACCUAAAAAAAGUGGAAGCUACAGAACAAACAGCUUCCUGCAUAGGAUGUAAUGAUAUACCUGAGAACUUGAGGGCCUUUAGGGGUUGGAAAGGCCUUUUCAAGUUUUGUUUUCAGUUUUUGCAUUCCAUCAAUAAGGCAAGUAGGAGAAAAGUAAACUUUUUUUGUGAACAAGAAUAACAGGAAUCAGUCUCACAGCCAGAGAGGCAUGGGAUCAGGACCUGCCCCAGGCCGUCUGGGUCCGAGGUCAAUAACUGAGUCUGGUGUGUGUGUGUCACUGGCCAGAGCAAGCCCUCUAGAGACUCCCCAGGUGGUGACAGCCCAGGCAGUCUCGUGCUUCAGCUCAGGCCUGCGUGCCGGCUGCUCCCCCUGGGAUUGGCGGCAGCACUUCUGAGCCUGGCGUUUUAUUGUGUAUUAUGUUAUCUCAAUAGGAAAAGGCAAUUCAGGGGAAGAAUUUCCUUGUCACAGUGCUCCAGGCUUUCCAUUGUCCAGCUUUCUUAGCCCAGGUUCAUCCCCUGGGUCUGACCAUUACUCAUAUCCAUGGAGGCGCCUUAUCAGAGCUGUCUAAGAUAGAGGGUCUAUUUUUUUCUCAGUACCAGACAAACUGGAAUCUGUCCACCCUUUGUGGCCUGACAUCAUCCCACAAUUAGCCGGUUUGAAUCCAGCCACACUGAGAAGAUACUAGAAAAGCAGCCCCUCGUCGUCCAGUUGUCUCGUUCACAAAGCCCUGGGACUUCAGGGCCCUCUGGGGAGAUCGAGAGCCAUCUCACAGAGGAGCUGACUGUGAGGGUCUUUACUCCGGAGCUUUCUUCCCCAACUUGUUUCUCUGAAAAACUUCGAACCUACAGGAAAGUUGAGAGAAUAAUACAAUGACCAUGCCUCUACUAGUCACCUAGAUUCACCAACUGCUCCCAUUUCAUCACAUUUGCUUUAUCUCUUUCCCUCCGCUUACAUAUCCACCUGAAAAAUAUAUACUUUUUUCCUGUCGAACCAUUUAAAAUAAAAGUUGCCAAAUCAUGAUGCUUCUGUG
ensembl:lncRNA